CCUGGUCUUGUUGUCGUCUUUCUUGUCACGCUUGUUUUCGAAUCCCUCACCCUCCGAGACGCCAAGAAACGCAUCAGAGUUCCUACACACGCACACACACGCACAGCCCAAACCGACUCAUCGCGUGCCUUAUUUUGUUCUGUUGACAUAAUUCUUGUUCCACCGUCCACUUGCCUUUCGUUUUCUGUUCCCUCGCUCGCAACCCUUCUCUGAGUCUGUCACUUCUUAUUACCGUUCUCUCUUUUUUUUUGCGCUUUCUGUUUUUUGUUCUCUGUUGCUGCUCGAGUCUUCUUGUCGGCGUGCUCGUGUCACUCUCUGUCUCCCUCUCUCCCUGCCCGUCUGCGUCUGCCCGCGAGUGUGUGUUUUCUUGCCGGACUGCACUUUCCCUAACACACAAAACGACUUCUUGGUAGUCUUGCCCCCCCCCUCCCCCACCCUCACCCCCUCCCACUCUCUCUCGCACCCGCACCCGCACACUCGUGCUGUCACGUGCCUCCCCCCCCCCCUCCCCUCAGGCUCCUUGCUCUCUCGUGCACGUUAUUUUCGUAAGCGUCAUCCGACCUCUCAGAACAACACAAAGUUCGACAUCAACCGAAAGAAAAAAAGAUGAUGCGCUACACCGCCUCCCGGGCCGUGGCCCGACUCUGUGGUCGCGCCUUCCCGGCCAGCCACACCGUCACCGCCAUGACGCUGCUCGGUGUCGCCCCGCUUGCCACCCCGGGCCGCUUCGCUUCCUCGGGUGCCACGUCGCCGCUGGUGGACCGGGACGCCAUCAUCAAGGCUGUUACGACGCAGGCUGUCUUCGACAAGAACAUUGUCGAGUCCCUCGCAAAUACCUUUGUGAGCGGCCUCGAGAAAUCGAGCUACCCGCGCAACUUCUCUCAGGCGGAGAUGAUCGACCACGUGCAGGGCCUCUUGACCGCAGAGGCUCGCUUCCGCAUGGGCGACUCCUUCGAGUACGUCCACGAGAACCACCGCACCGCCUUCUACAUUUGCCACAACGAGCCUCAGAAGAAGCUGCGCAUGCUGCGCAAGAUGGCGCGGUUCGUGUCCCUCAACCAGGAUCCUCAUCUCGGCAGUAACACGCACCACUACAUCAGCGAGGACCGCAAGUUCGCCAUCUACAACGCCUCCAUCGAGCCCUUCGUCGAGAGCGGCAGCGAGGAGGAGCAUGUCAACCCCAAAAGCCCGGCACUGCCGACGCAGACGGCCGCCAGGCAACUGACGGAGGAGCAGAAGAACAUUAUCCGUGGCCUACUACGCCGCCAGCUCAGCUCUGUAUUCCCGGUCUUCCACGUCGAGGAGGUGGAAAAGGGGCAUGUGUCCUUCACGAUGGCCACCAUGGUCGAGCGCACGAAUUACGUCGCCUCGCUGCUGUCCAUCUUCCAAGAGAUCGAGGGGGCUGAGAUCAUGAUGAGCGUGUCCUACAGCUUCUCGAACGGGGUGCAGGUGUACGGCUUUGAGAUCCGCGGCGCGACGGCUGAGCAAAUAGAGGAGCGGGCCUCGCUGGUCGGGCUGCUGCCGAACCGCCCCUUCAACGCCAUCACGCGUCUGCACGAGGCCGGCGCGCUGUCAUGCGAGGAGACGGUGUUCAUCGACGCAGCCGUCAUCUUCGCCAUGUACUUCACUCCGAGCCCGACGACAGACGACUACCGUCACCUCAAGGCGAUCCUGGCGAAGGAGCCGAAUGGCGUGAACCGACUGAACAACCUGCGAAGCUCACUGACGCAGGAGGUCAUGUCCGAGCGCUACACCGGCUCCGUCAUCGCCCUCUACCCGGAGUUUGUAAAGCUCAUCUACGAAGACUUCCGUCUUGGCUCCACGCCCGAGCGCCGCGCUGCCAUUGCCGAUAAAAUUACGCACCGCUUGCGCGAGGACGACCGCCCGGAGUACGACCGCACGCUGUUCAUGAGCUUCCUCAAGUUCAACGAGGUGAUCAUCAAGCACAACUUCUGCAAGACAGAGAAGGCCGCGCUCGCCUUCCGGCUGAACCCGGUGUUUCUCAAGGAGCUCGAGUUCCCCCGUGUGCCGCACGGCGUCUUCCUCUUCGCUGGUGGGCAGUGGCGCGGCUUCCACAUUCGCUUCACCGACAUCGCGCGUGGUGGUGUGCGCAUGAUCAUCUGCAAGGAGCGUGACUACCGCAGGAACAAGCGCUCCGUCUUCCAGGAGAACUACAACCUCGCCCACACGCAGCUGCUGAAAAACAAAGACAUCCCGGAGGGCGGCAGCAAGGGCACGAUUCUCGUCUCCAGCCGCUACCUAAACAAGUUCGACGAGGUGCGCUGCCAGCACAUCUUCCUCCAGUACGUCGACGCUCUGCUCGAUGUAAUCAUCCCUGGCGAAAAGGGCGUCGUGGACGGGCUCAAGUCAGAGGAGAUCAUCUUCCUCGGCCCGGAUGAGAACACCGCCGGCACCUUCCCGGCCGCUGGCGCGCUCUACAGCAAGGGGCGUGGCUACAAGUCGUGGAAGUCCUUCACGACUGGCAAGGAUCCCGAGCUUGGCGGCAUCCCGCACGACGUGUACGGCAUGACGACGCACAGCGUGCGAGCCUACGUGACGUCCAUCUACGAGAAGCUCGGCCUCAACGAGUCGGAGAUGCGCAAGUUCCAGACCGGUGGCCCGGACGGCGACCUCGGCUCGAACGAGUUGCUGCGCAGCAAGGAGAAGAUGGUUGGCAUGGUGGACAUCUCGGCCUCGCUACACGACCCGAAGGGCAUCGACCGUGAAGAGCUCGCCCGCCUGGCCCACCACCGUCUGCCGCUGCGCGAGUUCAACCGCAGUAAGCUGUCGCCGGAGGGUUUCCUGGUGCUGACGGAGGACCGCAAUGUGAAGCUGCCCGACGGCUCCCUCGUCGAGGACGGCUCUCGCCUGCGUAAUGAGUUCCACUUCCUCAAGUACUCUGACGCAGAUGUCUUCGUUCCUUGUGGCGGCCGCCCGCGGAGCGUGACGCUCGAAAACGUUGGCAGGUUUCUCAAGAUUCCCAACGCGGACGGUGAGUCCAUGAUGGAAGGCAAGUACGCGAACUUGUCGCCGGAGCAGCUGAAGUUCAAGAUCAUUGUGGAAGGUGCCAACCUGUUCAUCUCGCAGGACGCCCGUCUGGCGCUCGAGAAGUGCGGCGUGACGCUCAUCAAGGAUGCGUCGGCGAACAAGGGUGGCGUGACAUCCUCCUCGCUAGAGGUGUUUGCAGGCCUCUGCCUCUCCGACGAGGAGCACACCAAGUACAUGUCCGCCAAGAGCGCCACGGAUGCGCCGGAGUUUUACAAGAAGUACGUGAAGGAGAUCCUCGACCGCAUUGAGGAGAACGCGAAGCUCGAGUUCAAUGCCAUCUGGCGCGAGUGGGAGAAGGACCCGCAGCAGUCCAAGACGCUCAUCGCCGACGCGCUCAGCAGAAAGAACGUGCAGAUCCGCGCAAGCAUGCUGAGCAGCGACAUCUUCAAGAACCGCGACCUGGUCCGCUACGUGAUGGAUCAAUAUGCACUCAAGACCCUGAAGGAGGUGGUGCCGGUGGAUCUGAUGCUGAAGCGCGUGCCGGAGAACUACCAGCACGCCAUCUGCGCCAUGUGGCUUGCCUCUCGCUACGUCUACCAGACCGGGGUGGACAGCAACGAGUUCGACUUCUUCCGCUACAUGACCGAGGUCUACGCCACCGCGGCGAAGAGUGCCAAGUAGAGCAACCACGUAGCAUGUGGCCGGCCUCUUCGACUACAAUCCUUUCCAACCACCACCCUCCGCAGAAACGCAACCCGCUGAUGAGCACAGCGCACCAUACACAGGGGAUCCGGUGCAGCCUCUCCUCUCCUCACCCGCUUCAAAGAGUGAGGUGUUGGCGGCGUGCACCGCAUCAUGCCCUCCCCCUCGAAGACGACGUCGGGGUAAGACAGCACGAGGGGCAGCGCGUCAGGAACGAAGAUAGUAGAUAAACGUCUAGAAGAAGAGGGAGACAAGGACCAGCCGUAAUGCAGUGCACGCGUCCAUCAUACGCCUCAGUCUGCGGAAAGGUCAUGGCAGUUUUGUGGCAGCGAUGGCUUGCGGAAAUGCGGCACACACGCACACGCACGCACGCACAUGCACACAGGAGGACACUCACUGAGCACAUCGCAAUGCACUCCUCCCCGCACACGACGAUGGCUGCUGGCGCCCGUGUGUCGGGGCGGGACGGGGCGAGGGGAGGUGACUGUAUCGGCCCUCUUUGUUGUACGUCAUGUCCGUUUUGUAUGAGCCACAGCAAAUGGGAACCUUGCUCUACGUGCGUGUGUGCGCACGUCUGAGCAGUGGACCUCGUGGUGGUCAUGAGGGCAGAAAGGAUGCACUCUCCCCCCCCCGCCACGCACACACACAUGGUGAGCACAACCUCUUUCUCUCACGCCCGCCGCCACGGCGAAGCCUUUGCGUUUGCUGUUCGUGUUUGGUUUCGUUGCCUUGUAGACCUCCGCCAGGCUAGCCUCUCGCUCGCCGCUCUCUGCCCGAACUCCCGUUUUUGCUACCCGCCACUCACUCGCUCGCUCGCUCCCCCCCCCUCCCUCGGGGCCUCCGCUCCCUCCUCGUCUCGAUGGCCUUUUUCUUUUUCUCUCUCUGUGUGCGUGUGUGUGUGCUCACCUCCGUCGACAACGGCAACGACCACCGCCACACCGAAUACCGCAGCGCCCCAUCCCCUUCCCUCCUCUUCCUCACCCCUUCCCCCCCCCCUUUUCCUCGAUGUAUUGGCUCUCUCUCUUCUACUCCCUCACCACUCUCCAGUUUCGCUUUCCUCUCAGGCAGGCGCCUCUCCUCUCCCCGUCCUCGUGUCUCUCUUGAUAUAUCUACAUCUACAUAUGAGUCUGCAAACGGUGGUUGCGUGUCCGUUUUUGUAUGCAUAUGUGUGUGUGUGUGUGUGUGUGUUUCAUGUCUUGGAAAGCCCCCUCCUCUCACUGUGCCGUUCACACCAAACGACGUGCGCGCGAGAGGUCAGAGAGGCGAAGCCGUGCGCACUUGCAUGCGCUCACAUGCGCCCACGCACAUUCAGUCUAUAAAGCAUGAGAGUCCUUUGUUUUCCUCUCCGUUGAUGAGCUCCUUCAUCUGUUUGUGUGGGGAGGUGGGGGUCCUUCCGCUGUUGCGUGUGAAGACCGUUUCCUCUGUGCAUGCGUGUGUGUUUCCGCUCUCACCCCCUCCCCCUCCAAACCGCCGAUACGGCCCGGCGCCGUACCCGAUACAGCGACCGCGCCAUGGCUUCUCCCUCCCUCCCGCCCACCACCCUCUUUCUCUCUUCGCUUCCAUCGUGCGCGCGUCGGUGUUCGCCUCCUUCUUAAUGCUCGUUUGCUUGUGUGCACGUCUUUGCGUGUGCGUGGAGGGGUAAAGGAGGGGAGGCGUGGAAAAGGCUUGACGACGUGUGUGCGUGUUGAGGAGGAAGAGGAGGAGGAGGAGGGGGGUCGAUAGCCCCAAAGGUUUGUGGCUGACACCACCGCCGCCAGCUCCUCCUUGCCUGCAGCACCGCCCGCAUUCUCUCUGUCUGCCUCUCUCCCUGCAUCCCUCACCCUAUACUACAAAGUCGUCGCUCUUGUUGUGGAGACACAUAUGCACGCCCCUCCCCCUCGUAUAGCGCAGUGCCACCACCAUUCCAGUGCACACAACCGUCCUCCUUAUAAUGCUCCUCGUGUUGUGCGUGUGCGUGUGCGUGUGCGUGUGCGUGUGCGUGUGCGUGUGCGUGUGCGUGUGCGUGUGCGUGUGGGUCUGCGUCUUUUUUACUUCAGCCCUUUGACAAGGCAUAACUCAGUAAGC
rnacentral:misc_RNA from 1 species